rnacentral:rRNA from 1 species
GGAGUUAGCCGGUGCUUCUUCUGCGAGUAACGUCACAGAUGUAAGGUAUUAACUUACACCCUUUCCUCCUCGCUGAAAGUGCUUUACAACCCGAAGGCCUUCUUCACACACGCGGCAUGGCUGCAUCAGGGUUUCCCCCAUUGUGCAAUAUUCCCCACUGCUGCCUCCCGUAGGAGUCUGGGCCGUGUCUCAGUCCCAGUGUGGCUGAUCAUCCUCUCAGACCAGCUAGGGAUCGUCGCCUAGGUGAGCCUUUACCUCACCUACUAGCUAAUCCCACCUGGGCUUAUCCAUCAGCGCAAGGCCCGAAGGUCCCCUGCUUUCCCCCGUAGGGCGUAUGCGGUAUUAGCAGUCGUUUCCAACUGUUAUCCCCCACAAAUGGGCAAAUUCCCAGGCAUUACUCCACCCGUCCGCCGCUCGUCACUCUUACAAACGACAAGUCUUUAGUAAAUAGUUACCGUACUCGUACUUGCAUGUUGUUAGGUCCGUCGCCGCCGACGCGUUACAAUCUGAGCCAUGAUACAAACUACUGA